UAUUAUAUUUGUCCAGAAGAAUCCAGCUGUCCAGCCGUAAUCACCACCUGAUGCGCAGCGACACGUGACCGCGUGUAAAAAAAUAAAGGUGGUAGGCCCACUGUAUUUGACACGCGCAUGUAACCUAGCGUCAUGACGCGCCACUGCCACCAGGGGUCGCGGCACACCAACAUGUUGCUGGUCGGGGAGGUGUGAGGAACCUGGGAUGUGUGUCGCCUCCCCGCGCAGCAUCGAUAAAAAAGGGGAACACCUAGAGAGAGAGAUACGCAGACGAGCCGCCCCGGAGCCAGCGGAGACGCAGCCGAUCGGCCUGUGGACGGGCGAGCCAACACACCGCUGGAAUGUGUGCAGUUGGGAGCAAACACACAUGCUCGGACAUUACUCUGUGUAGAGAUCUUGAUCAAGUCCUUUUUUUUUUUUUUUUUUUUUUAAAUAGAAUAAUUGAAAAUACAGGUCCACUUUGCUGUGCCUCUCCCGACGAAAACCUAUAAUUGGAGACGAGCCAGUGACGCGCUGAAAAUAACCAGGUUAGCACUUAGAACCGGUCCAUUUUGGGGAGGGCCCAACACGAGGGCGCAGCACCAUAUAGAAGCUCCUUCCAGCUGUUUGGGAAUAUCCUGCUCAUAAAAUCGAGGCUGCAGCAUGGCAGUAGCAACAGCAGCAGGCUGUCUUUCCACUCCGUCUCCCUCUUCCUAGAAUGUAUAUUGGGUGACGGACUGGGUGCGCACGGGGGAUCUCUCGGUGGGAAAAGCUGUUGAAAGGAGGGAGGGCGAGAGGUGGGAGACUGGCACAAGACGCGACACUGUUGCGUCUGCAUGUUUUUUUUUUGUUUGUUUUUUUCCCCUCCUCGGACAGACGGGAAAAUAUAGGCCGGGGGACUGCCCGAUUUAUUCCAAAAGACAAUUCGUUCCCCCCACCCCCGAAUGGAUAAUCUUGCUCAAUUUGGGAUGCGUGCAACACCAAGUGAUCACACAUUACUUGGGCGGCGGUGGUGCUGGAUGGACGGCGAAGUUCAACUCGCAGACGCGUUCUCCUCCAGGCGGCCAGACAACCAUGCAGACAGUGGGCGCUUUUUACGUUAAGUCUCCAUAUGGCUACGGGAUGCUGCUGACACCUGCCCGGUGCACAGGUAACCACAACCCGGCUACUACUCCAAACACUGACAGGCUCUAUCAGCUGAUUUACAGCCGUAGGGGUCACCAGUGGAAGUGGAGCUGGAGCAGAGUGGUGCAGAACUCUCCUCCUCCCUCCUGGCCCCCUUCGCCUCUCCCACACCCACCCAAUUGUUGCUUUUGAGCUGUGAUACUGUAUAUGGGUCACACUGUGAUUGUACGUCCAGGCAGGUGAACAUGGUGAACCUAUUCCAAUGAGCACAUAGGAAGAAGUGUUCCAACGAUUACCUUUAAGCUUAAGUAGAAACAUGGUGGAACUAUGCUGUAUUUGUAAAGCAAAGGUCAUAAUUUCAGAUUUUUGCUCGCACAAAUGUAUAUAAGUGUUACUUCAGAAUGUAGGUUAAAAGAGCCUCACUUUUGUACUCUUCAAACUAUGAACUUAAGAAUGACAUUAGAAAGAUUAACUUUAGAAAAAUCUGUUACAUUUGUGUGUCAAUGCAUCACCAGGCAUGAUGUGAUAAUUUAUAGCACUUAAUUUACUGCACUUAAUUUGUAGCAUAUAGCAUUUAUAACCCUAUAGAGUCUAUACAGAGCAAUUUCUGAUAUAGUGCAGUGCUGUUAGUAUAUUUUGCAGGUAAUUUGUAAAGUCACCAGUAUGUGUCUGAUUAAAAAAUACAUAAAUAAAUAAAAAAUAACCAUGACGACAAGGCAAUCUUUCUUUCUUUCUUUCUUUCUUGCAGAAUCAGGAACAAAAUUGAAUCCUUGAGCGCGUACACGGGUUAAGUUUGCCUUUGUUCCCGUGGGUUUACCUGAGCAACCCGCAAAGAAGAAGUCAUAUAUCCCACAAUCUCAGGCCAAGCAGGAAGGCAGGAUGUUUUUGAUGAAGCACUGCGCUUAAUUUAGGCCCAGGCAUUCUCAGUAUCUGUCACCUAACUCCCGGCGAUCUCAACACACAGUACAGAAGGUGCCUGUGUUUGUUAGCCCAUGUUUAUCCAAGGACGGGGGUCAUAAAUUUAAGAAAUGUAUACCAAUUUUUGGGGAUCCAAGACAUGGACAUGACCAAACUCAUUUAAACUGGUAAAUAAUAUUAACAGUAAUAAUGAUAAGAGAUAGCUCUAAUUGCAUCAGCACAACAGACUUUUGUGCUAUAGUGUCUCAUUGAUAUGAUUUUAUUAUGAAAUAUUAAAAUUGUCUGUUUAGAAUAUAAUCCUGUUAACCCUGCCAAACACCCAAAAUCUUGAUUUCUUCUUCUGAAGUAACUGGCUAGCUUAUAGCUCCUGCUUGGCCAUUAAAUAACCAAACAAGGUGUACGCAUUGCCAACAAACAAGCAAAAGCAAAAGGGGAAUGCCAACAACCUCUGCCAAAGUCUUCAGCUUGGACUCAGUGUUCUUCUCUUACUGGUACAUAGAGAAAUUCUCUGCCUCCUACUUUCAAACACAGAAUUUUUCCACCCUACAUUUCUUUUCUUUUCAUAAUAUAUUAGAAUGAGCAAGCUCUAUUGUAAAGUUACAAUGUCCUAAAUAGUUAUUAUAUAGAGUUAUGUAUUUGAACACAUAAAUAUGCUGAUAUGUUAUUGGAAACUAAACUGAGCUAAUCUUGUCGUCAUUUUAAUGCUGCAUUAAAUGAACAUGCCCCAACUUGUCAAAGUGCUUAAGGGCAAGCAGCAUCCAUAACGAAUGGAAAGAAAGGAAGACCACACAGGGGCAGGGUCAGAUCAGGUUGUCAGAGACCAUAUUUAAAAUCUGGGUCAGAGUGUAGGCCGGAACCUUGCUUCGACUGUUGCGCCUUACUCCCUCCUCUGCACCCCAUUUCACCUUCAUCUCGUCCCACUGCCCUAUCUUUGUCUUUUCUUUCUCUCUUCACAGCUUAAUCUACUCAGUUAGGUUUUCUUUACACAUCUUUAUUUAUUUCAUCCACUCCCUCAACCUUCCUUCUGGUCCUCCCUUCUCUCCGUGUUCUGUGUUGCCAUCUGGCUGCAUUGAGUUUCAUAAAGAGCAGCUUAAAAUUUAGAUCAUAUUAGUUUCAGAAUUAAUGCACAAAAUGAAAAGGAACAUUGCACUGGAAAAAGUAAGUGUCAUAUUAAAAUGUGUGACUGGUUCAGAAUGUUAUAGUAUAUGUUAUAAUGAAAUAGUGGGCUUUUAACCAUUGCUUUUCUCCCACGAGGAAUUAAGAAAAUUCAAGGCGAGUGCAAGAGACAGCCAUAUGAUUCAUAUGUGAGUUCAGAGGUAGACAGAUGACUGAGAGUAUUACAAUAAGCCUGUUCAGUUCUUCCAACAGCUGUUCCAUGUUGGCUUCAAACUCAGGUACUAAUACUAUAUGGUAAACAAGUCAAAGAGAGGUUCAUAUUUUAAAGAAAUAUAUUAUCCCAAUAACUAGCUUGAUGAGGCUCAGAUCAGACUGAUGUGUUAGGACAUGUUUAGCUUAGCACACAGAUGUUGCAUUUCACUAGCUAUCAAACCACCACAUCUACAAAUCACAUGGGUUUACUCUGGUUUUUGUUACUGUGCAAAGCCAAUAAGCUUGCAAUGAAUUCAGACUUUUGACAUGCUAUAAUCAGCUAGUGGCCACAGCUGCUGCUAGUCAGGGGAAGUUUCCAUGCAUAGGUCGACUGCUCAUUAAAGGACAGUGCCUUAUAUUCUUCUCCAACUGUACAUAUAGUAUAAAAAGUGUGCAGGAUAUAAUCAAUAAAUAUGUACGAUUAUGAUUUACUUUCUUACAUCUUUAAUUUAAUUCAGUUCAAUUCGGGCCUGUUCAGACUCUGCGUUAAAAUCUGAUCUGGGCCAUCUGAUUGCAAGUGACCCGCUGAGUAUGUUCAGGCCUGGCAUUAACAUACGUUUCCAAAUGCGUCUCCAGAUCUGAUCUCAGAUUGAUCUCUGUAUGCAAACAAACAUAACUCUGCUGACGCGGGAUUGCCCCUGUUGAGUAUAGACAGUUGUUAAUGUGACUCGGGAUAGAUUGCAUUCACACAUUCACACUCAGGAAUGUGGACACAUGUGACCCACACAAACUCCAUAUGUGGUCAGAGAUCAGAUCUUAAUGCAAGGUCUGAACAGGCCAAAUCCAAACUGUCUCAAGAUGCUUUACACUGUUCACACUUCUUACAUCUUCAGUAUGUGUAGUGUGUAGACAAAUAAACCAAACAAUAUUGUUAGAUAUUGUUAGAAAAUUCACUGAGAGAAGGGGCCAAACUUAAGAGUUUGACUGAAGUUUCCACAUUGCUGCCAGACCUGGCAGGCCGGCAGCAGCUAGAGCAGUGCCCUUGCUGCCAUUCGUAAGGGAAAAUGUCAAACACUGUACAAAUCAACUGGCAUAAAUGUCCAUGCUUCUUUUCAGCUCAGUGGCUCUGAACCUAUUGUGGAGCUAAUAUGGCUGCCAACAAUAAGACACGAUGACACAGUCCUGUUUUCGUGCUGGAGGCCUCCCAGUUAGGAGUUCUCUCUUCAGUGCGACAUGGAGAUGGGCCCAUAACCACCAGCGGAGCUGAGCUGAGCAGCAGAGUUGCUUUAGAGUCCUGCUGAGACCUGCCAGGCCCACAGCUUUCCCUGCCAGGGGCCUCGGCUUGCAGACAGAGUGAGUUACUACCCAUAGUCAUGACAAACAUACUGCACGCUAAUACACAAGCAUGCAUCAAGUGUGUAGACAUGUAGGAGCACACACAGCUAGAGCACACAGUAGAGUAUACUGUAUCUCGGCAGUCAUAAACCAAUACACAAGACAAUUCCUACACAUACAAAUACAGCGAGCAUAGCUCCACUGGACCAAUGAUAUGUAAGUUCACUGCAUAUACAGCUAUUAUUUCCCCACGUUGUUAUUUUAUAGCUGGAACUACAGUGACCACUUGAACACACACGUGGGGUAUGUGUACUUUCAUAGAUAUGCAAACAAAACAUAUGCUCUCCACCUUUGCACACAUGCAGUAAAGUCAGCAUGUCCUCCAACAGAAGCUCUAUCUGUCAGGGGUAGUUGGAGAUCAAGGUCCAGCAGCUGCUGGAUCAGCUGGAUUGAUCUGUCUGGGUAAACAUGAAGAGUGGAAAUGAGUAUGUUUGUGAUUAAGGGCUUAACAGGAGGUGUGCGUGCGUGUCAGUGGGAAAGAGAGGGAGGUAGAGAUUCAGUUUGUGGCAGUUUUUAUCCUGUACAGUAGAAAAGCAGUGUGUGUAUGGACUCCAUGUGUUCCUCCAAAUGAAUCUUUUUCAUUGCUCCACAGACAGCAAUCGCCUACAUAAAGUCCAAAUAUUAAGAAAUGAAGCAUAUAGUCUUUGAGAGAGCUUGCAGAGGGGAUUAAUUCAAUGUGGUUGUGGUUCAGUGCAAAUGCUCCGUAUAUUUUCACUUAAGUCUAAACUCGCUAAGGCGAUUUCCAUGUUGAUAAUGUGCUAGUUAUAAUGUAUGUUUCCAUGCUUUCCUAUGAGUUGAUAGUUGAUAUCAAACCCUUACAAAUUCAUUUAGCAUAACAAAUGAAUUAGUGACAGGGAGCCAGGGUUGUUUUUCUUAGCUCACAUAAAACAAGGGUUUUUUCUCCAACAAAUUAGUUUUUCCAAAAUCUAGGAAAUUAGCCUAAUAUUGUGACAUAAUACAGUCUGAGUUUGUGGAGAACUGCAGUCAAAGGAAAUAAAGCAUAUGGUUAACGUAUAGUUUGGGCAACUUGUGUGGACAAUAUUUCUUCAACCCAGUUGAUAUUAUUCAGAUUGGAUCAACUGUUUGAUUGUAUUAGAAUUAUUAUUGCAUUAUUAUAACAGAUUACUACCAGACUGAAUAAAAAAAUCCACUUCUCGUCAGACUUGACACUUUUUAAUUUCUUCUACUAUGCAAUUUCAACUUCUCAGUUUAAGUGGAACCUGUCAUCAUACCUCGAACUCCCUGAAGCGACAGGGGCCAAGUUGCACUGUGAUGCCAGUAAAAGGUUUUGAAAUGUAACACGACUGUGCCAAAUUAAAGGAACUUAAAUGUACUGACUGUACACACUGAAGGCACACAUGUGGCUGCAUCGAUGCACCAACUGUCCACCCUGGUGUCCAAGUCUGUGCCAGUUUGGUAGUAUAGCAGUGGCUGAAGACAACCAGACUGACAAAUGACAAUGUCUGAGUGACACAUUGCUCUAACGUCUGUCCAUGUGGACUACUAACAGACUGGUGGGGGGGGCAGAGGAAACAUCCAAAGCCAACAGAUGUUGCAGAAGUCCGCCAAAAUGCUCUUUCAGAAUUGGCUGUUGGGGGCCCUGCACCACACCAUGCAGCGCCUUUAAUUGGAAGACGUAGUUAAAAGUUUCUGGGUUCAUUACAUUACUAAGAUGCAUUGAACAUAACUGUAUUUAGUGCUUGCAUGAGAGAUGACAAACAUUAUUUUUCUCAUUAUAAAGAUUCAUGUCACAGUCACUGAGUGACUGAGUGAGUGCACAAACAGUUAUAGGGUUUGUGUCUACAUUAAGUCCAGGAAUGUUGAUGGUCCAGAGUUUAAUAGGAUGAGGUAUGGGUGUGGAGAGUCCCCUGGAGCAGAGUGAUGGUCUUAAAGUGCCAAGAAGCCUUGACCCAGGAAGGCCCUAUACACCCACUCACAGGGACACAGCACCUCUUCCUCAGUCAGCACAUGCUUUCAUACUCUGGCUAUGCUACAAAGAAAUGCACACUAAGAAACAUGAUCACAAGAAAGACAAGGAAAUAAUAUAGUCGUAAACACCACACAUGCAUGAAAUUAAACCAGCGUUCGCAUUUUCUAGGUCAAACACACAUACUCACAGUGGAACACAUCCCCGUUGUUUUGUGUUGCUUGUCAUGCAAUGAGGAACACAUGACUUAAAUCGGGCACGGUGCAUGACCUCUUAUCGGACAAAAGCGUCCCACAGAGAGACUGUGCCUCUCUGGCUGUCCUGUCUGCCGGCAGUCAUGAGGUCUCCAUCCCGUUCUCCACGCUGUGUCUCGUGGUUCAAAGUCCAUAAAAUGUUUGAGCUGAAAAAUCCCCUGCUUUUAAAACAUUCAGCCAUGGCGGCGCGUUGUCAAUAAAUCAGCUGCUCAGCCUGAGGAGAGAGGAGGAAGUGCAAAAGACUUCAUGUUCUUCAAGAAUGGAGUCUUUGAAUUCUUUUUCGUCACUUCCCAUAAAUGUCUCACCUAGAGGGCUCGAUGUCUCUCAGUAAGAAUGGUUGGUUUGUGUUUCACACAUUCACACUAAUGCUUCUACACGCCUACGCAGUUUUGCAGAGCUAAAUGCAAAUAUUUCAUUGACAGAAGUUGUAUCCUGGUUUAUCACAUUAGCUGAUCUCUUUUCAGUGUUCCAUAAUUUAUAUCAUUUACCUGUCAAAAUGGUGAUACUUUCUGUAUGUUGGAGCAUUAACUUGUGUGUUAUAUCUUACAGGGCUUACUUCUUGACACUAGACGUAGUCUCAUCAAUUAGAAAAACAACUCUGCAACUUACAAUGUUUUCACUGAGUCCUUUGGAGCUCAGUGAAAACAUAGCCUAGAAAAAUUAGGUUUGUUGCAUGGUAGGUCUUAUGGGCAAGUAGUUAAAGUGCUUCUGCAGAUGGUAAAUGGAUGAGUAAGUGUUCCACUACCAGGAAAGGGUAGAAAAGGGAAAAGGUAGAGGAGGCAAUGACUGUAAUGGUUGCUAAACAUCUGCACUUUGAUUUUGCUGACAGCAAAGGGUCACAACAUCAAGGGUCUGAAGGAGGUGUUGAGACACCAAGUCCCACCAAAGCAGCUUCAAUGCACCUUGAGUCUAAAAGUCUCUGGAAGUCUGCUGGUGGGAUGGAACGCAAUUCUUUUGAAAGACAUUUCCUCAUUUUUCAUUUAGAUGGCAGUGUAGAAAAUCAACAGUCGGUGUUUUACUGAGUUGGAGUCUGGUGACUGUGAGGGUGAUAGAAUAUGACUUUUAAUACCCACCAAGUCAUUCACUGAGCCCUUGUGACUUAUACAUAGGGGAACUGUGAUCUUGUAUGGGAUCACAGGACAGAAAUCUUUCAUAGGUGAUCAGUGACAGUGCUCUAUGCCACAGUACAACGAGUGCUCUUUAAUUUAGCAUAACAUUCAUCAACACAAGGUUACAGGGUUCUGCCACCAUCAAGAUAUGAAAAGGGCCAAUUGUCUGGUGCAGUGCCGAUGGUUGCAUGAAAAUGGAAUGAAGCAUGUUUGACUCGCAGGCCUAUAUGUGACCGUGGCUAAUUGUGGAGUGAAUCGAGGAACUAAAGGAUGACCCGGGGCUGAGUAGGAAGAUGCAAAGACAGAUCUCUUUAAGUAAUGACUGCCUCAAGGAAUUAAAAAGAGUCCAUGUUUAAUUGCUGGACCAUGUAUAUGAAUUAUGUACAACAUGAUGAAUAAAGAUUCUGUUCAAAAUA